AGAUGAAAAGAGAGAGUGCCUUAGAUUGGCCACGUGCUAAGCAAGCACCAUCCCUUCAUCUGCAUAGGGCACCUGUUCACCUCAGCCUUUAAUUAGCCACAGACCAAAUCCUUCAUCCAGAUAAGGGAUAACCAAUGGGGGCCUCAAAAGGAGUACUUAAAACCCAGAAAACUUUGUAACGGGGCACUUGAGCCGCUUGCUCAGCCCCACUCCCACCCGGGGGAGUGUUUCCUUGCGUUAGUAAAUCCCUGCUUUCACUGCUUCAUUCCUGUGUUUUGUUCCUUUUUUACUUUGUGCGUUUUGUCCAUUUCUUUAUUCAAAACGCCGGGAACCUGGACAACUUACAUUCAAGGCCCUCCCUCCGGUAACAGCCUCACUUGUAGGAGAUGGGAUCUCACUGUGUUGCCCAGGCUGGUCUCAAAUUCCUGGCCUCGAGUUAUCCUCCCGUCUUGGCCUCCCAAAGUGUUGAGUUUACAGAAAAUGUUUGCUGAUCCCUGACUUGGAAGAUACUAUAUAUUGCAAAUUGUAAGUACUAUAAAG